rnacentral:rRNA from 1 species
CAUUUUAAAGGUUACGAGACAUGCAAGUCGAACGGUGACCAGGACUUGGUCCUUGGGGACAGGGGAGAAGGGGAGAGCACGUGUGCAACCCCUCCCUCGCUCUCUGAGAGCGCUGUGGAAACGGUCUCUAAUAGUGUAUAAGAGCUGCCACCGUGUGGUCCGCAUGUGAAAAUUUUUUUGUGUGUGAUGUGGUCUCGCGCUCUAUCCUUGUGGUGGAGAUGUAGUGUCUCCCCGGCGCCUACACGGAUACCCGGUGUGAGAGGGAGCCCGCCCACUGUGACUCAGACACACCCCCCACACCCCUAGGAGGGGCAGCUGUGGAAAAUAUUGCACAGUGCGCAAACCUCUGACGCCACCACCCCGCGAGAGACAACACCCUCUUCGUUGUGUACCCCUCUUUUCACAGGAAAAAAGAAAAUGAGAGUACCCGUGCAAAAAACGCCCCCGAUAUCUACGUCCCCACACCCGCUAUACACAUAGGGCGCACUGCGAUUUUUCUCCAGAAAUAGUGGGCGUAAGAGAUCUCAUACGCGGUUGUGUCGCGUCUGCUGUGAAAUCCCGAGACGCUCAACCCUCGCGUGCCUGCAGUGGGUACGGGCAGACUCUAGAGUGCGGUAGGGGAGAUUGGAAUUCCUGGUGUAGCGGUGGAAUGCGCAGAUAUCAGGAGGAACACCGAUAGGCGAAGGCAGAUCUCUGGGCCGUAACUGACGACUGAGAGAGCGAAAGGGUGGGGACGCAAACAGGCUUAGAUACCCUGGUAGUCCACCCCGUAAACGCUUGGGAACUAGUUGUGGGGUCCAUUCCACGGAUUCCUGUGACGCAGCUAACGCAUUAAGUUCCCCGCCUGGGGAGUACAGGCCGCAAGGCUAAAACUCAAAGGAAUUGACGGGGACCCGAACACACAGCGGGCGGAGCAUGACGGAUUAAUUCUGAUGCAACGCGAAGAACCUUACCAAGGCUUGACAUAUCACGAGAACGGUGCAGAAAUGGUCAACUCUUUGGACACUCGUAAACAGGUGGUGCAUGGUUGUCGUCAGCUCGUGUCGUGAGAUGUUGGGUUAACGUCCCGCAACGAGCGCAACCCUCGUUCUAUGUUGCCAGCACGUAAUGGUGGGAACUCAUGGGAUACUGCCGGGGUCAACUCGGAGGAAGGUGGGGAUGACGUCAAAUCAUCAUGCCCCUUAUGUCUUGGGCUUCACGCAUGCUACAAUGGCCGGUACAAAGGGCUGCAAUACCGURAGGUGGAGCGAAUCCCAAAAAGCCGGUCCCAGUUCGGAUUGAGGUCUGCAACUCGACCUCAUGAAGUCGGAGUCGCUAGUAAUCGCAGAUCAGCAACGCUGCGGUGAAUACGUUCCCGGGUCUUGUACACACCGCCCGUCAAGUCAUGAAAGUCGGUAACACCUGAAGCCGGUGGCCCAACCCUUGUGGAGGGAGCCGUCGAAGGUGGGGAUCGGUAAUUAGGACUAAGUCGUACCAAAGGGGUAACCGA